UACGUAGGGUGCAAGCGUUAAUCGGAAUUACUGGGCGUAAAGCGUGCGCAGGCGGUCUUACAAGACAGAUGUGAAAUCCCUCGGCUUAACCGGGGAACUGCGUCUGAUACUGGAUGGCUAGAGGUUGGGAGAGGGAUGCGGAAUUCCAGGUGUAGCGGUGAAAUGCGUAGAUAUCUGGAGGAACACCGGUGGCGAAGGCGGCAUCCUGGACCAACACUGACGCUGAGGAGCGAAAGCCAGGGGAGCAAACGGG
rnacentral:rRNA from 1 species